ensembl:snRNA U2 U2 spliceosomal RNA
AUCGCUUCUUGGCCUUUUGGCUAAGAUCAAGUGUAGUAUCUGUUCUUAUCAGUUUAAUAGCUUCCUGAGUCUCUCAUUAGUUAAUGAGCUACAGAAAAUCUUUGAUAUUUUUUCAUUUUACAUUUGUUUGCGAGUCAAGAUUAUAACCCUUA